CCUACGGGAGGCAGCAGUGGGAAUAUUGCACAAUGGGGGAAACCCUGAUGCAGCGACGCCGCGUGAGUGAAGAAGUAUUUCGGUACGUAAAGCUCUAUCAGCAAGGAAGAAAAUGACGGUACUUGACUAAGAAGCCCCGGCUAAAUACGUGCCAGCAGCCGCGGUAAU
rnacentral:rRNA from 1 species